GAUGAACGCUGGCAGCGUGCCUAAUACAUGCAAGUCGAGCGAACGGACGAGAAGCUUGCUUCUCUGAUGUUAGCGGCGGACGGGUGAGUAACACGUGGAUAACCUACCUAUAAGACUGGGAUAACUUCGGGAAACCGGAGCUAAUACCGGAUAAUAUUUUGAACCGCAUGGUUCAAAAGUGAAAGACGGUCUUGCUGUCACUUAUAGAUGGAUCUGCGCUGCAUUAGCUAGUUGGUAAGGUAACGGCUUACCAAGGCAACGAUGCAUAGCCGACCUGAGAGGGUGAUCGGCCACACUGGAACUGAGACACGGUCCAGACUCCUACGGGAGGCAGCAGUAGGGAAUCUUCCGCAAUGGGCGAAAGCCUGACGGAGCAACGCCGCGUGAGUGAUGAAGGUCUUCGGAUCGUAAAACUCUGUUAUUAGGGAAGAACAUAUGUGUAAGUAACUGUGCACAUCUUGACGGUACCUAAUCAGAAAGCCACGGCUAACUACGUG
rnacentral:rRNA from 1 species